UACGGGGGAUGCAAGCGUUAUCCGGAAUCAUUGGGCGUAAAGCGCCUGUAGGUUGUUUAAUAAGUCUGUUGUUAAAGACUAGGGCUUAACCCUAGGAAAGCAAUGGAAACUACUAGACUAGAGUAUGAUAGGGGUAGAGGGAAUUUCUAGUGUAGCGGUGAAAUGCGUAGAUAUUAGAAAGAACACCGGUGGCGAAGGCGCUCUACUGGAUCAUUACUGACACUCAGAGGCGAAAGCUAGGGUAGCAAAAGGGAUUAGAUACCCCUGUAGUCCUAGCCGUAAACGAUGGAUACUACAUGUUGCGUUUAUUAUGCAGUAUGGUAGCUAACGCGUUAAGUAUCCCGCCUGGGGAGUACGCUCGCAAGGGUG
rnacentral:rRNA from 1 species